AUAUAUAUAUAUAUAUAAGAACUAGAUUUUAACCCGUAAUAUACCGCGGAGACAAUUUAUUUUUUAAAGUUACUAUAUAUAAAAGUUUGCAAAUUAUAUUUAUUUAUA
rnacentral:sRNA from 1 species